rnacentral:rRNA from 1 species
AAUGCUGUCAGUGCGUCUUAAGCAUGCAAGUCAAACGGAAUGUAGCAAUACAUUUAGUGGCGAACGGGUGAGUAACGCGUGGAUGAUCUACCUAUGAGAUGGGGAUAACUACUAGAAAUAGUAGCUAAUACCGAAUAAGGUCAAUUAAUUUGUUAAUUGAUGAAAGGAAGCCUUUAAAGCUUCGCUUGUAGAUGAGUCUGCGUCUUAUUAGUUAGUUGGUGGGGUAAAUGCCUACCAAGACGA